rnacentral:rRNA from 1 species
GUAGGUGGCAAGCGUUGUCCGGAAUUAUUGGGCGUAAAGCGCGCGCAGGUGGUUCUUUAAGUCUGAUGUGAAAGCCCCCGGCUCAACCGGGGAGGGUCAUUGGAAACUGGGGAACUUGAGUGCAGGAGAGGAAAGUGGAAUUCCACGUGUAGCGGUGAAAUGCGUAGAUAUGUGGAGGAACACCAGUGGCGAAGGCGACUUUCUGGCCUGUAACUGACACUGAGGCGCGAAAGCGUGGGGAGCAAACAGGGAUUAGAUACCCUGGUAGUCCACGCCGUAAACGAUGAGUGCUAAAGUGUUGGGGGGGGUUUCCCGCCCCUCAGUGCUGCAAGCUAACGCAUUAAGCACUCCGCCUGGGGAGUACGUCGCAAGACUG